rnacentral:rRNA from 1 species
AUACGUAGGUGGCAAGCGUUGUCCGGAAUUACUGGGUGUAAAGGGUGCGCAGGCGGGACUGCAAGUUGGGUGUGAAAACUAUGGGCUUAACCCAUAGCCUGCAUCCAAAACUGUGGUUCUUGAGUGGAGUAGAGGCAGGCGGAAUUCCGAGUGUAGCGGUGAAAUGCGUAGAUAUUCGGAGGAACACCAGUGGCGAAGGCGGCCUGCUGGGCUCUAACUGACGCUGAGGCACGAAAGCAUGGGGAGC